CAGCCGCCGCGGUAAUACGGAGGGUGCAAGCGUUAAUCGGAAUUACUGGGCGUAAAGCGCACGCAGGCGGUCUGACAAGUCAGAUGUGAAAUCCCCGGGCUUAACCUGGGAACUGCAUUUGAAACUGUCAGGCUGGAGUCUUGUAGAGGGGGGUGGAAUUCCAGGUGUAGCGGUGAAAUGCGUAGAGAUCUGGAGGAAUACCGGUGGCGAAGGCGGCCCCCUGGACAAAGACUGACGCUCAGGUGCGAAAGCGUGGGGAGCAAACAGGAUUAGAUACCCGCGUAGUCCCUGUCUCUUAUAC
rnacentral:rRNA from 1 species